GGACUUUCAGAGAGAGAAAUACAGAAAGGGAGAGAUUUACUUUCACACAAUUAUAAGGAUUUUUAGAGAUAGAGAAGAAAGAAGAAAAGGUUCAGACAUGGCUUCAGAGUGUCAAGGGAAGAGCUCAUGGCCGGAAUUGGUGGGCGUGAACGGCGAGAUUGCAGCUGCAACUAUCGAGAAGGAGAAUCCGACCGUUAAGGCUGUAGUCCUGCCCGAAGGAAUCAUUCUUGAUGAUCCAGAAUUUCGGUGCGAUAGGGUCGUGGUUUGGGUCGAACCCGGCAUCAUCGUGGGCAAUGUCACACGUGUGCCGGUGAUAGGGUAGAAGCCAUUAAUCACCUUCCUUAAACAUGCAUUAGAUAAAUAAAAUCUUCUAAGUCCCCCUUUCUCUGUGUCUCUAAUGAUGGAAACUCGAUAUGUGUAUAUCUAUUUGAUUGGUGGCGAAUGCAGUGACCUACGUCAAUUACAAAAGUGUAGCCAUGAAUUGGCAUGUUCGACGUGUUAUAAAUAAAAAAGGAUUGUUUUUUUAUUGAA